UACAAAUCACGCCUUACGUUCUGACAGAGAUGAGCCGCAUCUGGAGUUUGUGCGUGAAUCUAGGCCAAUCACAGCCCUUCGUAUUCCAAUCGAACGGUUGUUUUAGAUUCACGCGCAAACUCGCGAUGCGUCUCCUCCAUCACAUCCGAUAUCUCACUCUGGCUUCUCUUUUCCCUUCCUGUUUUCCCGCCAAAUCUGGAGGUACGGAAAAUCAGAGAAUCAAUUUCCGGAAGAGAUUGAAGAAGGCGGAUUAGAAUAUGAUGUGCAAGCGUAGGCAUCGACGGCUUCGAGUUUGGUGGAACAUUGUCGUUUUCCCGCCAAAACUGGAGAUAUUUGCAAUUUCUUCGAGGAACUGAAGAAUAAUGCGCAGUGUUAGAAUUGAUGGUGUCGUCUCCGGUGGAAGACUGGCGCUGAGGAUUUUUGUUGAGAUUCGAGGUUUUGCAGUUUGAUUCUGAUUUAAGAAGAGAUCUGAUGAAUGACUCUGAGGUUCUGUUUCUUUAUCUGGUUUUCUGAAGGAAUGAGUUGAAUGAGAAAGAUUGACAGAACAUUAUACACGUCAGAAGAAACAUGAACUUCGUAAACUGGCCGGGAUAGCUAAUGUGAGGAUGAAGCAAGUGAUAAAACUCAUCAAAAUGACAGGACAUUAUCCUUCUUGUAAAUAUGAUUAAUGAAAUCUUGAAGAUUAUGGUUAUUGUGGCCUUUUAGUCUAUGCAGAAGCAAUAUGUGAUAGAUUUCUUGCUUGGCAAUUGUUUGUCCAUUUA